GUGGGGAAUAUUGGACAAUGGGGGGAACCCUGAUCCAGCCAUGCCGCGUGUGUGAAGAAGGCCUUUUGGUUGUAAAGCACUUUAAGCGAGGAGGAGGCUACCGAGAUUAAUACUCUUGGAUAGUGGACGUUACUCGCAGAAUAAGCACCGGCUAACUCUGUGCCAGCAGCCGCGGUAAUACAGAGGGUGCAAGCGUUAAUCGGAUUUACUGGGCGUAAAGCGCGCGUAGGUGGCCAAUUAAGUCAAAUGUGAAAUCCCCGAGCUUAACUUGGGAAUUGCAUUCGAUACUGGUUGGCUAGAGUAUGUGAGAGGAUGGUAGAAUUCCAGGUGUAGCGGUGAAAUGCGUAGAGAUCUGGAGGAAUACCGAUGGCGAAGGCAGCCAUCUGGCCUAAUACUGACACUGAGGUGCGAAAGCAUGGGGAGCAAACAGGAUUAGAUACCCGAGUAGUCC
rnacentral:rRNA from 1 species